rnacentral:lncRNA from 1 species
UCUCGCUUCUGCCCCUCCGCGGGCGCCAUAUUCCAAACUUGCUGGGCCCCAGCCUGACGUGACAAGCUCCCUCCCCGGAGUGAAGAUACAAUGAGUGGAGACCCAUGGCCUGCGCCAUGCCACAGUGCGGCUCCCCACGGAGGAGGACUCCAUAGUAGGCUGAAGCCAUCGGGCCUCCCGGGAGCCUGUUUGGCAGCCUAAGAACUUUCCAGGCUCAUUUCAGCAGCGUGUGGACAGAGCCCCACAGGGAAACCCACGCACGAGAGCUGGAUCCUGUUCCCGUCUGGCCCUGAGGUUGAUUCCAUAGAUGACUGUGAAAACAGAUGGGGAGAGAACAGUCAGCUCGUUCUUACCACAGAAGCGAGAAGACUUACUUUCUCCCCCCUUGAGAACUGUCAUCCGGAGAUGGGAAUUCCCAUCCGUCUUCUGCUAAUUCUCUUGUUCUGUGGCCUUACGCAAGUCACUUGGCUUCUCUGUAGCUCAGUUUCCUCUCCCGCGGAAGGAGAGUUGGUGGUCUGAACUUGACUCUAGGUCAGUGAGGCUGAAGCCCGCCCUUUACAACCAGCUGGGGGAAGUUUUGUCAGCCAGCCUCUGUGCCAGGCCUAUGACACGAGAAUGUGUGGGAGGCAGACCCAGGUGAUGCCCAGGCCUUGGGGAGGAGGUGGGGGGGAUCCUGGAGUGGAUGGCUCCCCCCUCGUCUCUCAGCCCUGACUCCCCAUGCCCAUCCCUGUCCUAUGAGCCACAGCUUCUUUUCCUGACUCAAGGAUGGAUGUGCUUAAGCCCCAAGCCCCCGAGAGGGAGCUUUCUCAUCCUGCUUCCGUGGGCAUCCUCUGGGGACAGGCCCUGAGGACAUCUGAAGGCCUCUGUCAAGAGAUGGUGACAACAAAGCUCUGUACUUAAGAGUUUCCAAAAGGGAGAAUUCCUGCCAGUCAUAAAUUACCCCCUCUGACGCUGAUGAUUUUUCUGUUGUUAGGGAUGAUUAUUUGCAUGGAGGCAGGAAGCAUGGCCCCGCUGUUCUUUCUCUGCUGGCUGAGAAGCAGGACAUCUGCCAAACCCCGAGUCACCUCGCUUCGGACAUUGGGAGGAGCCUCCCUCAGGGGCUCCUGCACCCUCCUAAGCCUGCCUUCCAGGGAGAGCAGGGAGCUUCCGGUGAAAAGCAGCCUGAGAAUCCAAGGAUCACGCAGCCCCAUGCACCAGGGUCCCUGGGGAGAGAGAAGACCAACGUCAUGCCUUUGAACCUGGGUACCAGAGGAAAACAGCUGUGUGUUUGGAACAAAGGAAAACAAUCUCUGCCAGGCAAUUCCUUCCCAUGCUGGCUGCAGGCAGAGUCCAGAAGGCCAUGGGCUAGGCUGUGGUUUGUAACCUUGCAUGUGGACACAGGCCCAGAAGUUUCUUCAAAGACGCUAACAUGUUUCCAGAGAGGGUCCUGGGCCCAUUCAAACAUCCACUGAAGAGGAGGUGCCCAUCCAGCCAUCCAUGCAGCUCCUGACUUCCCUGUAUCACAAGUGAUGAGCUUAGCACGGAGCAAAGCUUAGGUGGCGACGGGUAGAUAGGUGGGUGGGAAGAGGGCAGAAAGGGGAGAGUGAGUGAGAGCAAGAAUGAGGUCUGUUUGUUUUUUUUCUCCAUAAGAGAUGCAUAUACACUCUUACAGCCCAUCAUUUAAAUCCCCUUCCAUGGUUUCAGUUUGCUACGGACUGUUCUCCAUCCCCGGUUAAGUUCUCGGCAGGCGGGGACAGCUGUGUGUAUGCGUGAACUUCACUGUGCCUCAUCCAUCCUACACAAUCAACAAAUGCUUCAUAAGUAAAUCAAAUGCCUGCCUGAUCCUCUAAAAAUGUCUUACUAUUUUCAGGCAGGUGAUUAGGGCAAAGAGCAUGCAUGGUAUAUGCACUGGGAAUCACAACAUUUUAAAUUUAAAAUAGAUGAUUUUUAGAAACCAGUAAAUGCCCAGUAGAAAAGGAAUGAGCAGUAGACAAGUGGGAAAAUCGAAGCUCUCCUCUUCCCGCAUUACAUUCCCCAGAGGGUGCCACUGUUAACAUUUCAGACUUCAUUUCUUUAAUAAAAUAAACUUUGAAUUAACUUGGUGAAAUUGACAGCUAUUAAUUUUUUUAUAAUUUAUUUUUUCAUCUUCGAAAUUGUAAUUUCCUCCAUGUCUGUUUUUUAUAUCCUCUUUGUCAUAUUUUUGUAGUCCCCCAAGUACUUGGUCAAGUUGACUUUUUUUUUAAUGCAAAAUUUAUAAACUCUGAAGCACACACAUCUUAAAUGUACCUGAGAUGACUUUUCACAAAUAUCAAAAUAAAGAAUGUUGCCAUCACCUGAAAAUAUUCUUCUAUGCUUCUUUCCAGUUAAUCCUUUCUUUCCUAGGAGCAACCACGGUUCUGAUUUUCUUCCACCAUAGAGUAGUUGUGCCUGUUCUAGAGCUUCCUAUAAACACAGGUGUACUUGUUUGUGUAUGCUUUAUUUUGCUCAGCAUAAUCCUUCUGGGAUCCGUCCUUCCUGUGUCAUCA